GACGAAGAACGUAGCGAAAUGCGAUAAGUAGUGUGAAUUGCAGAAUUCAGUGAAUCAUCGAAUCUUUGAACGCACAUUGCGCCCCUUGGUAUUCCAUGGGGCAUGCCUGUUCGAGCGUCAUUUGUACCUUCAAGCUUUGCUUGGUGUUGGGUGUUUGUCUCGCCUUUGCGUGUAGACUCGCCUUAAAAUAAUUGGCAGCCGGCGUAUUGAUUUCGGAGCGCAGUACAUCUCGCGCUUUGCACUCAUAACGACAGCGUCCAAAAGUACAUUUUACACUCUUGACCUCGGAUCAGGUAGGGAUACCCGCUGAACUUAAGCAUAUCAAUAAGCGGAGGA
rnacentral:misc_RNA from 1 species